ACUUAAGCAUAUCAAUAAGCGGAGGAAAAGAAACCAACAGGGAUUGCCCUAGUAACGGCGAGUGAAGCGGCAACAGCUCAAAUUUGAAAUCUGGCUCCUUUGGGGUCCGAGUUGUAAUUUGUAGAGGGUGCUUUGGUGUUGGUUGUGGUCUAAGUUCCUUGGAACAGGACGUCACAGAGGGUGAGAAUCCCGUACGUGGCCGCCAGCCUUCGCCGUGUAAAGCCCCUUCGAUGAGUCGAGUUGUUUGGGAAUGCAGCUCUAAAUGGGAGGUAAAUUUCUUCUAAAGCUAAAUAUUUGCCAGAGACCGAUAGCGCACAAGUAGAGUGAUCGAAAGAUGAAAAGCACUUUGGAAAGAGAGUCAAAAAGCACGUGAAAUUGUUGAAAGGGAAGCGCUUGCAGCUAGACGUGCCUUGGGUUGAUCAGCCGGACUUUUGCCCGGUGCACUCUUCCUUUGGCAGGCCAGCAUCAGUUUGGGCGGCUGGAUAAAGGUCUGUUAAACGUGACUUCCUUCGGGGAGAGCUUAUAGGGCAGACGACAUGCAGCCAGCCUGAACUGAGGUCCGCGCAUCUGCUAGGAUGCUGGCAUAAUAGCUGUAAGCGGCCCGUCUUGAAACACGGACCAAGGAGUCUAACAUCUAUGCGAGUGUUUGGGUGUCAAGCCCGAGCGCGUAAUGAAAGUAAACGGAGGUGGGAACCUUUUAGGUGCACCAUCGACCGAUCUUGAUGUCUUCGGAUGGAUUUGAGUAAGAGCAUAGCUGUUGGGACCCGAAAGAUGGUGAACUAUGCCUGAAUAGGGUGAAGCCAGAGGAAACUCUGGUGGAGGCUCGCAGCGGUUCUGACGUGCAAAUCGAUCGUCAAAUUUGGGCAUAGGGGCGAAAGACUAAUCGAA
rnacentral:rRNA from 2 species